rnacentral:lncRNA from 1 species
UCUAUCGUCUUUUCUUUAUUGCUUUUCUCGUUUUCCUUUAUCGCUUUUUCUUUACUGUUUUUAGAUGGUUUAUUUAUUGUUAUUUCCUUUUAGUUGUUUAUUUUUCUUUUUAGUAUAAUGCAUGAGUCUGACGAGUCACCAAAUAUAGUAUAUCUUUAGUACAAUCCUACCUCCCCAUACCUUUAGCCCCACCAAAUUUUUUUUUGCAAAAGAAAAUAGUGUUAUUC